rnacentral:rRNA from 1 species
UACGGGGGGGGCUAGCGUUGUUCGGAAUUACUGGGCGUAAAGCGCACGUAGGCGGCUUUGUAAGUUAGAGGUGAAAGCCCAGGGCUUAACCCUGGAAUUGCCUUUAAGACUGCAUCGCUAGAAUCGUGGAGAGGUGAGUGGAAUUCCGAGUGUAGAGGUGAAAUUCGUAGAUAUUCGGAAGAACACCAGUGGCGAAGGCGACUCACUGGACACGUAUUGACGCUGAGGUGCGAAAGCGUGGGGAGCAAACAGG